rnacentral:rRNA from 1 species
GGCCAGCAGCCGCGGUAAUACGUAGGGGGCAAGCGUUAUCCGGAAUUAUUGGGCGUAAAGAGUGCGUAGGUGGUUUUGUAAGCGCGGGGUGAAAGGCAAUGGCUCAACUAUUGUAAGCCCUGCGAACUGUGAGACUUGAGUGCAGGAGAGGAAAGCGGAAUUCCUAGUGUAGCGGUGAAAUGCGUAGAUAUUAGGAGGAACACCAGUGGCGAAGGCGGCUUUCUGGACUGUAACUGACACUGAGGCACGAAAGCGUGGGGAGCAAACAGGAUUAGAUACCCUGGUAGUCCACGCCGUAAACGAUGAGCACUAGGUGUCGGGGCCGCAAGGCUUCGGUGCCGCAGUUAACGCAUUAAGUGCUCCGCCUGGGGAGUACGCACGCAAGUGUGAAACUCAAAGGAAUUGACGGGGGCCCGCACA